AACUAACUUUCCAUCUAUUUCUUGGGCUGGAAUCGGAAGCCUGCAAAACUUUCCUACUGUAAAACGAGGAAACAGAUUCCUCUCCUCAAUCGCUGUCUCCUCCCAAGCGCUGCGCUACACGCCCGCGCCGUCUCCUCCUCGGACUGUCUCGUCCCCGAGCUGCAUCGGCUGCAUCUGUGAUUCCUGCGGUCGACGGAAGAGCUGCAUCAGCUGUUCGUCGAGGCCUUCUUCUCCGAUCCAAAAAUAGGUGCCUCACAACAACUUAGAAUUGGUUAGAACAAAUUUGGAGGAAAUGAGAGAGAAGCGUAGGAAGAAGAGGCAGAGAGUAGCAUCAUUAUUUGUUACAACUGUCAUGGGUAUGAUUGCGGACUAUUAUUAUCGGAAAAGACCUAGACAUUUUAUGGAUCCCUCUGAGAUGAUAGAGAGAGAUGUAGCUGGUCAGAAACAAAUGCUAAGGAAUAUGUAUCAAGGAUCAAAUGUUUAUUGCACAUGUAUAUGACUCAUCAAGGCACAUGCGCGUAGCAAGGAACAUGUGUAUUUCGUUGUGUACAAGUUAACAUGUAAUGUGUACAAGUUGAUGUGGUUACUUCCCUCCAAAUAUGUAAAUUCCAUAUAUAACUACCCAAACAGGAUAUUGAAUUUGAUUCAUGGAAAUAAU